ensembl:snoRNA
GACAUUUUGUGGUUCCUAAGCAUAAUGAUUGGAUUUUCACACUAAUAUGUGAGAUGUGCCUUUCUCAAACAUGUUACAACAUCAGCACAUUACCUAUCUGAUG